CGCCUAGUUAUCAACAGUCCUCUCACCUGAGAUUGAAGGACACGAAAGCUGAGCCAUUGUUGACCGCCAACUUUAUUUCGCAGGAAAUCUGGAUUCCUGGUUGGCGAGAAUGGUACAGUAACUCAGCUUUACAAACGCGUUAAAGCCAUUCUCAAUCCUUAUAAAGACCUCAAAACCACCGAUUAAGUCACAAAGUUUCGCACAAAAGCCAUUAAUUCUACAAGCUCUUCGGUUAGAGAACGCAUCACAUGGAACCACAAGAAGGAACUAGUGUUUUCGGGGAGAUUCCUGGAGACAUAUAUAUCUUAAUGGCAGGGACGGAUUCAACAACCAUCUCAUCUGGAGGGUCGUCUGGGUACAACACUGAUACCACAUUUGGUCGAAGUUUUAACUCAGAUAGCCGGGUGGGAUUCGCUAGUAUAAUGGUCCAGGAGAGCAGCGAUGAAACUGAUCUCGAUGUUUCACUCUUAGGGAACAUUAGCGAAAACGACAACAGGUCUAUGUUAGGUGUUCCACUUAAUUCUGACAUAGAUGUCAACGAUGUUGAAUCUAACAGUUACUGUAUUGAUAUUAGGAAGGAGAGAAGGCAACUUCGAAUAAGUCGGUUGUCUAGGCAAGAAACAGCUACUCCAAGAAUAGGAUAGUUGUGGUACGCUGUACCGAAGUAUGUGAUGGCGUUUGAUGGUGAAUGGAUGCAAAAGUAAUUUUAUGGCCGAAACGAAAUGUAAAUUAUUGAAACAUAACUCAACUAUGAUGUUUAUACCCAUUAUGUUACGAUGAUGAUGCGUAAGUGAACGCACAUUAUUGAAACCGAAUUAGUAUGCUUAUACCCAUUAUGUUACGAUGAUGAUGCGUAAGUGACCGCACUAUAUUGAAACCGAAUUAGAAUGCUUAUACCCAUUAUGUUACGAUGAUGAUGCGUAAGUGACCGCACUAUAUUGAAACCGAAUUAGUAUGCUUAUACCCAUGUUAUUACAUUGGUGAUGCCAAUAUUGGUUGUCUUGCUAUCGCAUUUUCAAAGCAACACAGCCAUAAAGAAUAUGUACAUAUGCCUGAGGUCUAUAAUAAUUGAGAAAAAAUAGCGCAUCUGGGAGUAACAGGGGCUACCAUCCCCUACCCAGCGCGUCCACAGGUGGUGGAUAGUGGAAAUUCCUCGUAGAGGAAAGCUGUGAAUAAGGAAUAAACAGCCGCGAACCAACUGGAAAAAUUAUCUCGAUAUUUAUAAUGUUUAGGUAAAAGAUAUUUAAAUAUCUAAGCUAUUGCUAUUGUAUGAUGUUUUACUGUCGUUGAAUUAUUUUAUGUUUGAUUGUAAUAUAAAAUAUUUUAGUAACA